CCUACGGGAGGUAGCAGUGGGGAAUAUUGGGCAAUGGGCGCAAGCCUGACCCAGCAACGCCGCGUGAAGGAAGAAGGCUUUCGGGUUGUAAACUUCUUUUGUCAGGGAAGAGUAGAAGACGGUACCUGACGAAUAAGCCACGGCUAACUACGUGCCAGCAGCCGCGGUAAUACGUAGGUGGCAAGCGUUGUCCGGCUUUACUGGGUGUAAAUGGCGUGUAGCCGGGUUGACAAAUCAGAUGUGAAAUCCUGCGGCUUAACCGCAGAACUGCAUUUGAAACUGUUGAUCUUGAGUACUGGAGGGGCAGACGGAAUUCCUAGUGUAGCGGUGAAAUGCGUAGAUAUAUGGAAGAACACCAGUGGCGAAGGCGGCCGCCUGGCCUGUUACUGACGCUGAGGCACGAAAGCGUGGGGAGCAAAUAGGAUUAGAUACCCUUGUAGUC
rnacentral:rRNA from 1 species